UGCUACAAUGAUGACAUUUAUUUGCUACUCUCGACUGCCUGGAUGACGAUGCCUUUUAACCACCAUUGUCUUGUCUGAGGCA
rnacentral:snoRNA from 1 species